UUAGUGUCUAUGGGCUUCUUUUCCCAAAAAACACAUGCUACUAAGCAUGCAUGCACAGUCAAAUGCACGUUUCACACUCCCUCUUGACAGCACCGUCCGCAAUACUUCCUUGUUUGGCUCAAGGAGAAAACAUGUCCUGAACAAUGUCCUGACUCCCUGUCAGACAUUGUCUAAAAAAUCAACCAACACUUCUUCAGGAAUCAGCAAAAGACAUUUCUCAGAAUCCUUCAAUAUGCUCUGAAGCAUACUCACGAUGCCUUCCACUAGACUAUAAGAAUACUCCUUUUGGCCAGCACAAAUAAAAAACAAGACAUCAUGUGUGAAAUCUUCCAUUCAACAACCAAAACCUCUAUAGAAUCCCACCAAAGUCUGUAGAGAAAAAUAAAUUCUCCCAGAAACAAACAUGCUUCAUAUGAUUCACUCCUAGGAAGCAUGUGAACACAAGAUUCACUCCACUAGUUUCACUUAGCUAGAACCAAACACUCCCUUUCAAGAGCAGAAACAACUACAUCAAGUAGCUCAAUCACUACAAGAAAAUUAGGGUUUAACGACACAUAGGUCGCGACAGUUGGAUGAUAACCGUCGUCUUUCUCCAUUCGCGACGGUUGCCGAGGCAGUUUUGGAGAACCGCCCUUUUAUUUUUAAAAAGAUUGAUAAGAGUAGCAACGGUUAGGCACUCAACCGCUGUAAACCGUGGACUACGACGGUUUUAUCAACUGCCACCCUUCCCCUAUUUAAAGUCGUGACGGGUACUGCACCUGCCGUCCCCCAUUAAACCAUCCUAAACGAUAAUAAAACGCCAAAUACAUAAAAAUAUUUCCCUUUCUUCAACCCUAGGAUUCAAAGCUAAAAAAUUUCCUUCAACCUCAAUUCAAAGCUCAAAAUUCUUCCUUCAACCUUUAAUUCAAAGCUCAAAAACUCCUUUCUCCACCAUUAAUCUGUAAAUCAAAGCUCAAAAACCCUUUGUUCUCCACCAACGAUUCUAAAAUUAAAAGCUUAAAAUCCCUUUCUUCAAUCUCCACCAAUAACAACAACACCAUUCGAAGAACGUCACCAAUUCGAAGAACCUUCAUGUUAUUGGCUUGACCAUUUGAAGAACGUCACCGAUUCAAAGGUAACUAACCGAUUCGAAGAACAUCACCGCCUUUGUUCCCUCUUCGUUCUUUGGAGCCCUGACUGAAGAGAAUCUUCUGUUCUAUAGGCGUGGAGAACAUGCAUUGCGAUAUGAGUCCAUGAACAAUCGGAAGAGACAUGUAUGCCUUUCAUUGAUAACAUGGAAUUCAUCUCUCCAAGUCGACUUGUCGUUGUUCUCACAGAGUUAACUCGCCGAUGUGUCCUCAAAUUAACACUCAGAGUUGUCACCGCAACCAAGAUUCUCAUUUUUGCCUCACAAUAACCAGUUACAGGGACUCAUUAUGUUAAAGGCGGUGGUGUGCAUGGAUGGACUCUUAUGCAAAAAUUAAUAAGCAGUGGGGCUAACGUUCUUGCAUAAACACUUUUGUGGCCCAAUGUCUUACAUUUGACUGGGUAUUUUCGGUAUAAAGCUCGAUAAUGGAUAUUAAACAGUUUGGAUAUCGUUGUAGCUCCCAUGUUGACUGGUUUGAGAUUGUUCUAUUGUUGUUUUUUGUAGAGUUUACUGGAAAUCAGCACUUGAAGAUAUCAUUAGUUGUUGUGUUAGUAAUUAAUAGAUAUGUCUUUCAAAUAGAGAUGAUAGUACGGGCAUCUAGAAAAGGAUACCAUAUUGAAGAGGUGUGGUUGCUUAAUUCAUGAGCUGAAGGUUAUUCUUUAUGUGAACUUGGUUGUUUGGUUAACUUCUAGAAAAUGUUUUGCCAAUGCAUAUACACCCUAAUCAUUAAAGUAUUUCUCGAAGUGCCUUAAAUAUGAUUGUAUAAUGAUUUAUUAAUUUAAACUUUUGUAUUUGAAUUUUACUUGUUCUCCCUUGUAUGCAGCGUCUUUGUCGACUUACUUCAUUAGUUUUCACCAGUUAUGUUAAAAGUUUUGAAUCUAUGUGGUUGUGUUAAAGUUGUAUCAGAUGUUGCAUUACAGGUAUGAAUAUGAUUCAUUUCAGACUAGUUGCUCAUCAUCAAUCUCAUAAGAAUUAGGGUCUUUUUAGAUUUACUUUUAUUAAUUUCUUUAUGAAAAGAAUGGCUUAAGAUGGUUAUGAUCUAUGAUACAGAAAAUUGGACAUUACUGCAAUGAGUUACAAACUCUAAACAUUGGGUGGUGUGAACAUAUACUUUAGUUAUUUGUUAUGCUUCCACAAGUGACGGUGUUAAUAUGCUUUCAGUUUCUAUUGGUGGAAAGUCUCAUAAUCUGUUUGAAGAUUCAAUUGCUAUAGGUUCUUUCAAGCAGCGGCCAAUGGUACAAUAGUAGUUACUUCAGCUGGAAAUUCUGGACCUUAUUUUGGAACUGUUUUUAAUAAGACAUGAUACCAUACUUCUUGUUGUUUUAUCUUGUUAAACUUUCAUUUAUAGUUAUAUAGUUUUUAAUAGAUUAGUAUAAAAAAUUGAUGGUUGUUGGUCUUUCUAUAACAACUUAUUAUGUUUCCAAUUAUUUCAGCCGAAAUGCAUU